rnacentral:lncRNA from 1 species
CAGACAAAAUGAAUGAACUAGCACCCACUUCUCAUUUCUAAAAAACAUUUUAUGCUGUCGGUUCCAGUUCCCCGAGUUCAAUGAUGCUGCCAAAGUAUCAACAACUUAGCAUCCUCUUCGUCGGUUUGAAGCCCCUCCGAUCUCUUAGUCAGGCUCUUUUUCUGUUUGCCUACCUGAUCCCACCGAUUCCUCAGCGUAAGGAGGCAUCGAACCUACCAGGUAAACUUCUUCACCCCUCUUCAGACUUUUGAGGUAUAUUUGAACCGAAUGCUUUGGAAACUUAUUGCUAGCUGUUUAAUGUCUCUAAUAUAUGCCCCAAUUCCUGACUUAUCUAUAUUACUAGACUGACAUUUCUUAAUUAUUGUUAACGCAUCACCUUCGAUUUCAAUCUUUCCCACUCCCAUUUGAAUCCCCAAUCUCAUCGCCUGAGACCAUGCACAAGCCUUUGCAGCGAAUAGAGAAGCUAUGUCCUUCUCCAGUAUCGCUUGGGAUACAAGUACCUCACCUUUGCUGUUUCUAGCUACUAAUCCCGAGGCCAAUCGAAAUUGUUGAGGGUUAUAGGCUACAUCAAAAUUUAUCUGGAUGUAUUGAUUUUCCGGAGGCCUCCAUAUCGAAAACAUAUUUUGUUUGGUAAUGCUUCUAGCCCCCAACUCAUCGAUUUCCUGGAUAUAUCUAAUAAUCCGUUCAGCUAUUCCUCUACCCGAACUAUUUUUGCCUUCAUGAUUUUUUUUUUGUUCCUUUCAAUCCAAAUUUCCCAAAGUGCACAACAAAAGAUUCGACAUUGGUAACUUGAACCUCUUUGAAACACUCAGGUAAGCCAUUCCCAGUUCUCUAGAUUUUCCACCGAUAAAACCCAUUCAAGAUUUAAGUAUUCCAAAUUUCCAUUGAAACAGGGCAUUCUCUAAACACGUGGGCUAUAGUCUCCAUCCCCUAUCUUCACCUAAGACAAAUUGUAUUCACUCGAAUCCUUCUGUGAUGUAGAUUUACUGGGGUUGGUAUGAAAUUCCAAGAGACUUUCCAUACUGUAAUCUUCUGUUUGGCUGUAAGCUCAAGGUUCCAUAGUUUUCUGUAAAAUUUUAUCAUAUCAUUCUAUAAUUCAAUAGUAGUAGAAUCGGUUGUAUUAGCAAGCAACAGUUUGUACCCACUCCUGAUCGAAUACUCACCAGAAGCCUCCUCCCUCCAUACCACCAUAUCAUCAUGUUCCACCGAGGCUAAAGGGAUCCUCGGAAUUCUACCUGCAUCAAUUUCAAAAAAGGUAUCCACAAUAAUUGCAACUUUCCAUGUUCUAGUCAUAUUAUCAAUUAAAUAUGAUACCUUUGCUACUUCAGUAUUACUAACAGUUCCACUGAUUCUAUAAUUUACAACUUUUCGGAUCCAUACGGCAUCUACAACAGUGAUCUUGUCACCUUUCCCAACCCACCAACAAAGCCCUUUCUCAAGGAGGCCCCUAGCUACCCAUAUACUUUGCCAGGUAUAAGAAGGUAGAUUUCCUAACCUAGCUUUCAAAAAGUCAUAAUUUGGGUAAUAUUUUGCCUUUAACAUGCGUGCUAACAAUGAAUUUUGAUUGCAAAUAAGACGCCAACCUUGUUUUGCUAACAAAGCUAAAUUAAAUUUUGCUAGGCUACGAAAACCUAAACCUCCCUUCUAUUUUAACUCACACAAACCAUUCCAUUCACACCAAUGUAUACCUCUUCUACCAUGUCCUUUCUGCCACUAAAACUUAUUUAUUAUGCCUUCCAAAUCACCAUAAAGCGGCUUUGGUAGCAAAAAAAACACAUCAUAGAAUAUGUUAGAAUGGCUUGUAAGACGACUUUAAUCAAUACUUCCUUUCCCCCUUGAAACAGAAAUUGUCUACUCCAAUUAUCAAUCUUCUAUUUGACCUUAUCUUUUAAAAUAUGGAAAACCAAUUUCUUCCAUCUUCCCACAUAUUUGGAAGACCUAAAUAGCGUUCUGGAUUAUUCGAAGACCUCACACCUAAAGUUCUCGAGACCGAUAAUGAUACGGGGUUGCGCGCGGACCAAGAUCGAGUUGCCAAGUCACAAGAAACUCCUACGAAAACCCUAAACAAUUAGAUCUGAAACGAAACAGAAAAUUAAAAGAUUAGAUUUUUGAAUUUUCAGAUCUGAAAUAAAAUCCCCAAAUCAGCAAAGAAUCAAAUUGAGAAUAGAAAUAAGUGUUAGGGUUCUUGAAACCCUCAAGGAGAUUGUGAUUCUGCCCAAUUGAACACCAAGAUAGUUUUCCCCAAAUUUCGACAAUCUAAUUUCACCCAAAAAGAGUAUGGAAAAACCCUAGAAAUUGGGGAUUUUUGGGCUGAUUCCUUAAGAUAGAAAAAUGCUGAAAACACAAUAAGAACAGAAAAUAGAUUAGAUAAUGAUUCAGCACAAGUAGAAAUAAAGAAAGAAUUGACAGUAAGAAAUUAAAAGAUAAGUCCUAAGAAGCCUUGAAAUCUCGAAAGAUCUCACAACUCCCUUCAAACGGCUCUAAUCUCCCCUCCAAAGAAUAUCAAUGGCAAGAAGAAGGUUGAAGAUGGCUCCCACAAUCAAAAAGAUUGUUAAAACAACUUCUAAAGAAAACUCAAGAGAAAAUCAUUGAAGAACUCAAAGAGAAUUUUCACUCAAAUCAAAUCUGAAAAUUUCAAUGUAAUUGUAAUGCAAUGUAGGGUGGCUGGCCAAGCCAUAUAAAUAGGCCUUUCAAAUGUUUUCCUAAUUUAAUUAGAACACUAAAACUAAAACUAAAAAAAAAACUCCUAAUUAUUUUAAUAUGGAAAUUCGGCCAAGGGUCUUUUAUUUGGGACUCUUGGACUGAAUAUAAAAAUUUAAACUAAGUAAAAUAAAUAAAUAAAAAUAAAACUUUACAACUUGGGCCACUUUGACAAUUUGGCCUGAUUUUCAACUAAGUAUGGAUGGAUUUCUUGAUUGGGCUGGGAAUUUACUUAUUGGGCCUCGCCUUCAAGAAUUUGGGCUUUUGUGACUCGUAUCAUUCCCCCCUUCCUCAAAAAGAUUCGUCAUCGAAUCUGAAAAAUCAAAUGAACUCGACUUUCCUCUAUCGAACGGGAGUAAUGGCAAUUGAGUCCACUGAAAAGAAUAGCCAUGAAAUAGUAAAUAGCAACACAAACAAGCUUGUAGUCCAAUUAUAAGCAUAAUAGAACAGGUAUAACGCAUGUGAAUGGACAGAUUCAGAUUACCAUGCAAACAAUCUAAUUUACUCACCACUGCCUCGUCAAAUAUUUGAAACAAAGAUGGACAUGUUUUAAGGCAUUCAGUCGUCUCACAUUGUUCCCACAAACCAUGAAUAAAUUGCGAGUAAUAAAUCAAAUGGUAAACAUAAUCGUCACAAGUAGGUAUUUGAAAAGAUUCACAUGGUUCACAGAGUUGCAUAAUCAUACCAUGCAUUAAUCGACGGUCUAUAGAUUCACUCACACAUGCAUUAUCAAAAACAAGAAUCUUUUUAUCAACCAUCAAAACAGAUAGAUCAUCAAUAAAUAAAAUAGGACAGUCAAGCACGUUUCGAUCUAAGUGUUCAUCAACACGAUCUUUAUCACUAUCCGAGGAGUACAAAAGUGUUUCAAAGGUUUCAAGCAUCUUACCUCGAUAAGCAGAAGAAUAAGGGUCGAUUUUACCUUUUUCAUUUAAAACAAACCUUCGCUCAUCGGGGGCAUAGUGUAGUCGAAUCUCCGUUGUUGAGUUAACCUUUGUCAAAUGGAACUCAAACUUCAUGUACAACCACAUAAACUGUUUAAGGCACGAAUAUAAAUUGAAAACAAAUUUGGAAAAUUUCGUUACCUUAUUCUCCAAAACAGAUUUGGACAAAUUCGAGGAUUUUACACAAGGUAAAUCAAGAGAAUAACAAAUCACGCUUCUUUUCGUAAUGACUUUAUCAACCACAAUCGAAGAGUAACAAUUAAUCGGAUCAAAAUGAGGUGAUCUUUUAAGAACUAAGUCACCAAAAGUUUUAUUAAUAAUUUUCAAAUCUGCACUGGACUCGGUUUCUAAAAUUUCCUUACCUCGCUUACCUUCGGGAUCAUGUAGUGUGAUUUCAUCUUUGCCUAAGUUGAUCGUAUGAAAGCGUCUUUCAUUUGAGAGGUAUUGAAGUUAAAAGUUAUCUUUCGAUCUUUCGGGAACCUGAAAAGUAGCAACACAAGAAAAAUUCAUAUCUUGGUUAGUGGAAACAUUCCUCACUAGCCUUUCCUCGUCUUUUUCUUUUGUUUCUUUUUCUAACUCAUUUUCUCUUCUUUCUUCAACUUCUUUUUCAAUUUUCUUUUCUGUUUCACAUUCCUUUUCACUCUCAAUCUCUUUUUGCUCUUUUUCAUUCUCUUUUUCUUUUUCCUCACUUGUUUUAACAGAAUUUUUCAGUUUGAUUUGGUCCUCAUGGACUUGUUCCAGAGUGAGCAGUACUAAGGUGAGUUUCUUUCCUUGAUGCUUGAAAGAAUACCUAUUGGUACGACCAUCGUGAGUGACUUUUCGAUCCAGUUGCCACGGUUCUCCUAGCAACAAAUGGCAGGCUUGAAUAGGCAUUACGUCACACACAACUUCGUCUUGAUACUUACCGAUAGAAAAGGCGAUGCGCACUUGUUGAGUGACCCUAAAUUGGCCUUCGUUGCUAAGCCCUUGUAGUUGAUAACUUUGUGGAUGCUUGGUAGUAGUUAAGCAAAGCUUUUCCACCAUCGUCGUGCUGGCUAUGUUCGAGCAACUUUCACCAUCAAUAAUAACUCUACAAAGCUUACCUUGUACGUGGCAGCGAGUAUGAAAGAGAUGUUCUCGUUGCUGCUCGCUCUUUGGUUUUGCCAAAGAUGAUUGUCCAUGAUCAUGACAAUCAUCAUCCAUUCUAGGGACACGUUGAGGGUUACACCUAUGGGGCUGGUUAUCCCUAUCUUCCUUAAUUGGAUCUCGAUAUUGAUGUUUUUGAUUCAAUCGUACCUCAUUCAAAGUAGUAUUCAAUGCUUGAAGUGUAGCAUUUAUUUGUGUGAUUGCAGCAGUAUGUCUGUCUAACUGUUGUUGGACUUUCAUAAGUGCAUCAUUAUUAUCACCUUUAGACAUCUUCAAAACCUAUAAAAAAUAAACACUCAACACUCAAAAAUAAAAGUUAGCAAACCUCACCAUUAAUCACUCAAAAAGAAAAAUCAAAUUCUCAAUGAGGUCGAAUUCAAUCUUGUGAGUUCUUUACCAGAGUUUAUAUCAACCAAUUAGAGAGUGUGAACCAAACUACCAAAGAAUCCUAAUUUGCACUAGGAUGCCAAAAACUGACGAGACACCAAGUGAUUCGUGUUGCACCGAGGAAGGAUUGUGCACACGUUUAAAUCCUACUAACACAAGAAACAAGAAGGUGUUAGAUAUUUUAAAAGGAUAAUAAAAAGCAAACAAAUGAAAACCUACAGCUAAGAAUCAAUAAAAAUUGCUGAAAACAGAAAACCCGAAAAACUGUGGAGUAACUUGACAACUUCGUUCGAGGUGUUCUCGAUCUCAAAAAAUCACAAAAUUAAAUCUCGAAUGUCCUUAAAUAUUUAAUUUUUGAUCUGGAAAGUUUGGGCACCAAACUCAACCCGCUGAAUUUUUUUAAAAUUUUUAUUAGAUUUCGUAUUUUUUUCGAUUUUUUAACUUUUUUGACUGAUUUUUUUGCAGGAAUAAAUUUUUUAUAUUCAAUCACAGUGCCACAAAUAUGUAUGUAAAAUUUCAGAUCAAUUUGAC